GUCAAGCAUUACGUAUAAAAAAGAUAUGUUCCGAUCCUGAAAAUGCUGUGAAACAAAUUGAUAUGUUAUUCGGAAAAUUUUCAAAACGGGGUUAUCCUUUGAAUGUACUACAUAAAUGUUUAUUGAAAAUUAAUCAGAUAAGCAGACAUGAUAUUCUUAAGCCAAAAACUCAACUUGUGAUAAAGCAUUUAAAACAUAAUAAUCCUACUGUGUUAUGUAAAUAUACCAAUGUCAACUUACAUGAAAAAGAGAUGCAUGAAAAAGUGUUUAUUGUCAUGCCGUUCUACAAGAAUAUGUAUGGUUUUAAGAAAUUAUUUAUAGAUUUUAUUGUAUGUGAAGCAAAGAAAGGUCAAAAUGUAAAAUAUAAACAAAUAUUAACAAACCUUAAUUUAAUUAUAUCUUACAAAAAAACUACCCAACUAAAAAGGUACACUGGCCAGCAACAUAAAACUGGAUAACAGUAUCAAUUUGUACUCAACUCGAGGCGUAACAUAUGAAAAAAAUAUUUGCCCAAAAAAAGUUUAAGAAACUUGUAAACAACUUAUAAACAUUUUAAAAAAAAAACUAUAACAAGUCACUCAGCAGCCUGAAGAAGCUGUACUUUAUGGCGAAACCGGUCGCAGCUGGUGAAUAAAUCAGAUUAUUUGUCAAUCAGUUGGAAGUGUUUUCUUCACACCUUCAAUGUUU